rnacentral:tRNA from 1 species
AACUUAGCUCAGUUGGUAGAGCAGCUGAUUUGUAAUCAGCCGGUCGUCGGUUCGAGUCCGACAGUU